rnacentral:rRNA from 1 species
CGGACGGGGGAGUAAUGUCUGGGAAACUGCCUGAUGGAGGGGGGUAACUACUAGAAACGGUAGCUAAUACCGCAUAACGUCGCAAGACCAAAGAGGGGGACCUUCGGGCCUCUUGCCAUCGGAUGUGCCCAGAUGGGAUUAGCUAGUAGGUGGGGUAACGGCUCACCUAGGCGACGAUCCCUAGCUGGUCUGAGAGGAUGACCAGCCACACUGGAACUGAGACACGGUCCAG